rnacentral:rRNA from 2 species
UACGGAGGGUGCGAGCGUUGUUCGGAAUCACUGGGCGUAAAGCGCGUGUAGGCGGCUCGAUAAGUCUGGUGUGAAAGCCCGGGGCUCACCCCCGGAAGUGCACUGGAUACUGUCAAGCUCGAGUUCCGGAGAGGAAAGUGGAAUUCCUGGUGUAGCGGUGAAAUGCGUAGAUAUCAGGAGGAACACCGGUGGCGAAGGCGGCUUUCUGGACGGUAACUGACGCUGAGACGCGAAAGCGUGGGGAGCAAACAGG